rnacentral:rRNA from 1 species
AACGCGAAGAACCUUACCCAGACUUGACAUGCACCGGACAGGGCUAGAAAUAGCCUCUUCCUUCGGGACCGGUGCACAGGUGCUGCAUGGCUGUCGUCAGCUCGUGCCGUGAGGUGUUGGGUUAAGUCCCGCAACGAGCGCAACCCUUAUCAUUAGUUGCCAACAUUUCGGAUGGGAACUCUAAUGAGACUGCCUGGGUUAACCAGGAGGAAGGUGAGGAUGACGUCAAGUCCGCAUGGCCCUUAUGUCUGGGGCUACACACGUGCUACAAUGGUCGGUACAGAAGGACGCGAAACCGCGAGGUGAAGCAAAUCCCAAAAGCCGAUCCCAGUUCAGAUUGUAGUCUGCAACUCGACUACAUGAAGAUGGAAUUGCUAGUAAUGGCGUGUCAGCUACAGCGCCGUGAAUACGUUCCCGGGCCUUGUACACACCGUACGUC